CUGAGCACAGGCAAUCCUUUCUUUUCCUUUUUUUUUUUUCCAGUGAACUCUCAACUUUUAUUGGUCCCCCAGUCCCCAGGGGGUUCCCUUCUUCUCAGCCUUAGUGCCUCAGAACUCUGGUGUAUCAUUGGUCUCGGACACCACUUUGCCAUCCACGACCUUAUGGGUAGAUGUCCUCUGGACAGUUUGCAUGGAGUUGCUGGAGUCCAGGGCAUUGUUGAGACCAAAAUCUUCUCCAUCCUCCAGCAAGCGGUGGUAGGUGGCAAUCUCCGCCUCAAGCUUGACCUUGAUACUCAACAGGGCUUCAUAUUCCUGGGUCUGGCGCUGUCCUUCUGCCCGAGUUUGUGCCAGCUCUGAUUCCAGACGCAGAAGGACCCCAUUGAGUUGCUCCAUCUGCACCCUGUAUCUGGCCUCCACUUCCCCGAGGUUGUUCUCCAAGUUGAUGUUCUGGUUUUUCAUGGAGUCUAGGUCAAUCUCCAAGGUCUGGAGGGUGCGUCUCAGCUCCAAGAGUGUGGUCUCAGCGUCCCUGAUUUCGGCAGACUUGGUGGUGACUACCGUGGUACUCUCCUCAAUCUGCUGAGACCAGUACUUGUCCAGUUCCUCACGGUUCUUCUGAGCCAGCUGUUCAUACUGGGCGCGGAUGUCUGCCAUGAUUUUGCUGAGGUCCUGAGAUUUGGGAGCAUCCCCUUCCACAGUCAACCCAGAACUGGCAAUCUGAG
rnacentral:lncRNA from 1 species